AUGGCCACCGCCACCACCUACACGCUCCGCCUCACCCCGCCCCCGCCGCCACCGCGGCACCACGCUCCUCUCCUUCCGCAGCUCCGCCGCCGCGCGGCCGCGAAGGUGUCUGCUAGCUGGGUCCCAGCCGCCGCCGGCAACUCGGACGACGGGCUUGGCGGCUGGUGGCUCCCCGAGCAGCCGGCGGAAAAGGGGAGGGCAGGGUUCGGGAAAGCUAUUGUGGUCGGAUUGGGUGCUUCGGCAGCGAUCGCUUUGGCUGGGAUCACUUGGCGCUCUCCAUCCUCGAGGAAGUGUUUACAGCAACUUAUCGGUGCCCCAUUGCAUUAUGUUCAAGAGAAGCUUUCAGUGCCGGACUCGACAGAAAUUCCUGAAGAUGAUGCAAGCGUCAGAGAGCUGGGUACAAUUGAUGUUUCGAGGGUAAAUGUUCAUGAGAGGAAUGCCACAUCACCUGAUGAUUCAAGCCAAAACCACAUACCAGCUGGCGGUGUCCGUAUUUCUUUUACAGUCCCUGUAGAUCCCAUGCAUGAGGAAGCUUUGUCCAUAUUGAAGAAGCUACAGAUAAUUGAGAAUGAUGCUAGCUCCGGUGACUUUUGUACUAGGAGGGAAUUUGCAAGAUGGUUUGUUAAAUUAUGCUCAAAAUUAGAGAGGAAAAGGAUGCACAGGAUCAUACCGAAUCUAAUAACUUCUGGUUCAUUCGAAAGUGCGUUUGAUGAUGUAGAUUUUGAUGACCCGGAUUUCUUGUAUAUUCAGUCUUUAGGAGAAUCUGGCAUUGUGCCUAGCAAGCUAUCAAGCUUCUUUGGAACAUCGGCAAAUGGCUCUCAAAGUGCCAACACAAAUUCCAACUUCCUACCUGAAAGUUAUCUGUCACGUUUUGAUCUUGUUAACUGGAAACUACUAGUGGAGUAUCCAUUUGCAUCAGAAUUAGACCAAAAGAUGCUGAGUAAAAAUGUUCAUACUUUGGAUUUGAGCGCUUGGCCAGAUGUAACAGCGUCUGUAUUUGUGGACUUGUUUGGCGGUGACCACAGCAUCGUCAGCAAAGUUUUUGGAAACACCAGGCGGCUUCAACAUCAUAAGCCUGUAACAAAAGCACAAGCGGCUGCUGCACUGACCAGUGGUAGAAUGGAAGAAGUAGUACGUGAUGAACUAAAUAGACUUGAAGCAGAAAAUCAGUCCCGGCUUUCUGCUAUGGGUGAAAUGAUGGAAGAGUUAAUUAAUAGAGGGGAUAUAAAACAAUAUUGGGAAGUCAAGAUAAAAAAGGAGCAAGACCGUGGGUUUGAAGUUGAGAAGCAUCUUCAAGAUGUUCUGCACGAGCUUGCAAAUGAGAGGACGGAUCAAGAAAAGGAAAUUGCAGACUUGCUAAAAGAAAAAUCAGCUUUAGAGCGUCAGAAUCAGGAACUCGUAUGUUUAAGGUCAGAAGUUGAUGGCAUGUAUGAUAGGCUGGCCACUGAGAGUCUAGAGGUCAUGGCUGAUGAAGAAAAUCUGGAAAAGUUGUCCUCUGAUAUGAGCAGCAAGCACCAAGCUGUCACUGAAGCUAAAUCAUAUCUUGAAGCUGAGAAGGAAGCUCUUACUAUGCUAAGGUCCUGGGUGGAGCAGGAAGCAGCGCGCGUGCAUGAACGUGCUGAGGUACUUGAGAGGGCGGUGAGAAGAUGGCGAGUCCCUGCUGAUUGA
rnacentral:rRNA from 1 species